GCUCAGGCCAUUCCUGGUGCCCUGGCCUCCUGUACUGAGCUGUGUGAGCUCUUCUGCCCAGGCAGGCCCCCUGGCAUUGACCGGCAUAGACAGUGAGCCUGGAAGAAGACUUGCCUUGGUCCCACUGUCCCUGGGCCAGUGUCCAUCAGCCAGGUGCCCAGCCCCCGGUGCACUGAAGCUCGGCCCUCCCUGGCACUCUGGUCUCCUGCACUGAGCUGUGUGAACUCUUCCACCCAUGAGGGCCCCCUGGCCUUGAGAGUAUAGGUGAGCGGAUCCUGCUGGGCUCAUGGACCAGGCCACGUGGGGUCACUGAGGGUCAGCCUUCAGGACAGGAGGGAUUCCUCAGGGAGACAACCUGAAUCCCCACUGGUGAGGGAUUGGUUCUCCAGGAGGGCUGUCUCCUUGGGAAUCUGACCCAAGGAGGACACCUUCCUUGAAGCCCUGCAGGAGUGACAGUGGUCCAGGCAGGAAAGGGUUCCAUUAGUCCCAUGCAGGGCAGCUCCCAGCUGAGACUCGGUGCUAGGGUCUGGCCUUGAGGACUGCCCAGGCCACAUGAGGCAGGGUCCCAGUCUGCUCUUUCCAGCGUAUGCUUGGAGAGGGAGCCUGGGUAGGCCCCCUCCCUGCACAGGGGCAGGCUGUGCAUCUGCCGGGUCUGCAGCGGUGCCUGCCUUCAGGGCCAGCCUCCUUGGUUGGCCUGAGCUGGAUAGUGGCCUUGGCCCCACCCAGGGGUCACAGUGCAGCCCAGGAAUUGUAGGGGAGCCGGCAUGGGGAGUGGAAGUGCUCCAGGGGCUUGCAGUAGGGCACAGCCUGGGCAUCUUGCUUGAGCCCAGUGACCAGCCUGCCCUCUUUUCCAGGGUUCAGUGGCAGGGAGGACCAAGGGCCCCCACGUCUAUGACUAUCACUGUUUCACAUGGAUCCCAUCACGUGGGUCCAUGGAGGGAGAGAAUGUGUGAGUUAGCACCCCCUGCCUCCUUUCCCACACGGAGGCAUGAGGUUCUGUUCAGACACUUUUCCCUGUCCCUCCAGAUGGUGACCCUGAAGGAGGACUUGUGUUGGGCCCAAUGGCCCGGAGCCAGUGUCUGUCAGCCAGGUCCCCAGCCCCUGGCACGCUGAAGUUUGGGCCCUUCCUGGCACCCUGUUCUAUCGGGGGAACCCACCCCCAAUAAUUCAAUGU